rnacentral:rRNA from 1 species
GGAGUACGGCCGCAAGGUUAAAACUCAAAGGAAUUGACGGGGACCCGCACAAGCGGUGGAUGAUGUGGAUUAAUUCGAUGCAACGCGAAAAACCUUACCUGGCCUUGACAUGGAUGGAAUCCUUGAGAGAUUGAGGAGUGCCCGAAAGGGAACCAUUACACAGGUGCUGCAUGGCUGUCGUCAGCUCGUGUCGUGAGAUGUUGGGUUAAGUCCCGCAACGAGCGCAACCCUUGUCAUUAGUUGCUACGAAAGGGCACUCUAAUGAGACUGCCGGUGACAAACCGGAGGAAGGUGGGGAUGACGUCAAGUCCUCAUGGCCCUUAUGGGUAGGGCUUCACACGUGCUACAAUGGGCGGUACAAAGGGUUGCCAAGCCGCGAGGUGGAGCUAAUCCCAUAAAACCGUUCGUAGUCCGGAUUGGAGUCUGCAACUCGACUCCAUGAAGUCGGAAUCGCUAGUAAUCGUAAAUCAGAACGUUACGGUGAAUACGUUCCCGGGCCUU